rnacentral:rRNA from 1 species
GACGAACGCUGGCGGCGUGCUUAACACAUGCAAGUCGAACUGUAAGGCCCUUCGGGGUACACGAGUGGCGAACGGGUGAGUAAAACGUGGGUGAUCUGCCCUGCACUUCGGGAUAAGCCUGGGAAACUGGGUCUAAUACCGUAGAGGACCACUGCCUGCAUGGGUGGUGGUGUGAAGCUGUUGCGGUGUGGGAUGGGCCCGCGGCCUAUCAGCUUGUUGGUGGGGUGAUGGCCUACCAAGGCGACGACGGGUAGCCGGCCUGAGAGGGUGACCGGCCACACUGGGACUGAGACACGGCCCAGACUCCUACGGGAGGCAGCAGUGGGGAAUAUUGCACAAUGGGCGCAAGCCUGAUGCAGCAACGCCGCGUGAGGGAUGACGGCCCUCGGGUUGUAAACCUCUUUUAGUAGGGAAGAAGCGAAAGUGACGGUACCUGCAGAAAAAGCACCGGCUAACUACGUGCCAGCAGCCGCGGUAA